rnacentral:tRNA from 1 species
AUUACUUUGACAGAUGAAUGUGUUAGACUUAGGAUCUAAUUAUGCGAUAAUGAUUCGCAGGUAAUA